rnacentral:SRP_RNA from 1 species
GCCAGGUGCGGUGGUGUGUGCCUGUAGUCCCAGCUACUCAGGAGGCUGAGGUGGGAGGAUCGCUUGAGCCCAGGAGUUCUGGGCUGUAGUGUGCUAUGCUGACCAGGGGUCUGCACUAAGUUUUGCCUCAAUAUGGUGACCUCCUGGGAGCGGGGGACCACCAGGUUGCCUAAGGAGGGGUGAACCAGCCCAGGUCAGAAACGGAGCAGGUCAAAACUCCCAUGCUGAUCAGUAGUGGGAUUGUGCCUGUGAACAGCCACUGCACUCCAGCCUGGGCAACAUAGCGAGAUCCCGUCUCU